rnacentral:rRNA from 1 species
UCGAGCGAGCUGAAUUCAAAGAUUCCUUCGGGAUGAUUUGUUGGACGCUAGCGGCGGAUGGGUGAGUAACACGUGGGCAAUCUGCCCUAAAGACUGGGAUACCACUUGGAAACAGGUGCUAAUACCGGAUAACAACAUGAAUCGCAUGAUUCAAGUUUGAAAGGCGGCGCAAGCUGUCACUUUAGGAUGAGCCCGCGGCGCAUUAGCUAGUUGGUGGGGUAAAGGCCUACCAAGGCAAUGAUGCGUAGCCGAGUUGAGAGACUGAUCGGCCACAUUGGGACUGAGACACGGCCCAAACUCCUACGGGAGGCAGCAGUAGGGAAUCUUCCACAAUGGACGCAAGUCUGAUGGAGCAACGCCGCGUGAGUGAAGAAGGUCUUCGGAUCGUAAAGCUCUGUUGUUGGUGAAGAAGGAUAGAGGCAGUAACUGGUCUUUA